UCUUAAAUUGGUGACCCCGGCGGCCCAGAGCAGAUGGGGGGGGGGGGAGGUUCGAUGCGGUGCGGCGCAGCCCGCGAGCCGGCGCCGCUGCCUCCCCCCUUGCGCUGAGGGCACGGCACGUGGUGGGAAGAUCCUCUUUUGUUGCCAGUUCAGAGAGUCCAGGUGGUUGAGUAUCAGAUUGUUCCAUCUCAUUUCCCUUUGGAGUUGCGAACUAGGAUGUCUUCAGCUGAUGUACUCUUGCCCUUCAGCAUCACAGUAUCACAGGACCACUGAAGCAUCAACUUGUCAUGGAGGCAAAAUGGAAUUAUAUUUCCAUGUUCCAUAGAUGGCUCACAGGCAAGGUGACAUUGGGCCUUAGACAGCUAUAGUCAUACAUUAAUUAUGAAAUGAUUUUUCUUCCAAAAUUUAUG